rnacentral:tRNA from 1 species
GGUGGGAUGGCAGAGCGGCCCAUUGCGCCGGUCUUGAAAACCGGUAGCCUCACGGCUUCCUGUAGGCCCCCGUAAUCACCCGAUAUGCGCCUUCUACCU